rnacentral:rRNA from 1 species
UGGGGAAUCUUGCGCAAUGCGCGAAAGCGUGACGCAGCAACGCCGCGUGGGGGAAGAAGGCCUUCGGGUUGUAAACCCCUUUCAGUUGGGACGAAGCUCCGCCGGUGAAUAGCCGGCUGGAGUGACGGUACCUUCAGAAGAAGCCCCGGCUAACUACGUGCCAGCAGCCGCGGUAAUACGUAGGGGGCGAGCGUUGUCCGGAGUUACUGGGCGUAAAGGGCCCGUAGGCGGUGCUUUCAGUUCCUGCUGACAGUCCUCAGCUUACCUGAGGAAGGUGUAGGAAGACGGGAGCACUUGAGGGCGGCAGAGGGAGACGGAAUUCCGGGUGGAGUGGUGAAAUGCGUAGAGAUCCGGAGGAACACCGAAGGCGCAGGCAGUCUCCUGGGCCGCAUCUGACGCUGAGGGGCGAAAGCCAGGGGAGCGAACGGG